rnacentral:rRNA from 1 species
GCCUACGGGACGCAGCAGUGGGGAAUAUUGGGCAAUGGGCGCAAGCCUGACCCAGCAACGCCGCGUGAAGGAAGAAGGCUUUCGGGUUGUAAACUUCUUUUCUCAGGGACGAAGCAAGUGACGGUACCUGAGGAAUAAGCUCCGGCUAACUACGUGCCAGCAGCCGCGGUAAUGCGUAGGGAGCGAGCGUUGUCCGGAAUUACUGGGUGUAAAGGGAGCGUAGGCGGGGAUGCAAGUUGG